AAUUAAUAAAGUUGUUUUUAUUAGGUUUUAUUUGGUUAAUAUUAAUUAAGUAAAUAUGAGUUAGUGUAGAAUGAAUUGAUUUAAUUAUUUUUACUAUAGUGAAUUAGUAUUGUGAAGGAAAAUUUUAAUUAUUGUUUAUAAUUAAUAAAAGGUAAUUUUAUUUAUUGUAUCUUGUGUAUCAGAGUGUAUUAAAAUGGAUUAUAAAUUUUUUUUCUUCUCGAAUUUAAAAGAUUUAAUUAAAAAUUUUAGUUAUUGUUUCAUAAAUAUUAAUAAUUUUUAGUUGGUAAUGAAAUGUUAUUCGUUUUUAAGGAUAUCUGGUUUUUUAAUAAAUGAAUUUAAUUCAGAAGAUGUAAUUUAUUAAAUAAUUUAUUAUUUGGAUAUUUUAUGUUUUUAAUUUUAAAAGGGAUUAACUUUUUAAAAUAAAAUUAUAAUAUUUGAGGUGAAUUAGGAUUUUAUAAAUUUAGAAUUUGUUAAUGAUUAAAGGAUGUUAAAAUUUAAUUCUUCAUUUUUGUUGAUUUUUAAUUUUUAUUUAAUUUUUAUAUUAAAAUAUUGGAUUUAAUUUAGAAAUUUUGGAAAAUAUGAUAUAAUUAGUAAAAUUAAAAAUUUAUUUUGUUUAAUGGGUUGAAUUGUUAAUAUAAAGAAUUAGGCAAAAAUUUUGCUCGCCUGUUUAUUAAAAACAUGGUUUCUUGUAGUUAUUUAAGAAAUUUGACCUGCCCACUGAAUAAAAUUUUGAAGGGCCGCAGUAUUUUGACUGUGCAAAGGUAGCAUAAUCAUUAGUCUUUUAAUUGAGGGCUGGAAUGAAUGGUUGGAUGAGGUGAAUUCUGUUUUAUAUUAAUUUAUAUUGAAUUUAGAUUUUAAGUAAAAAGACUUAAAUAUUAUUAAGGGACGAGAAGACCCUAUAGAUUUUAAUAAGUGUAUUAAUUAAUUAAGUUAUAAAUAUAAUUUUUAAUUAUUAUGAAAUUUAUUUAAUUGGGGUGAUUGAAAGAAUAAAGUUAACUCUUUCUUGUAUUUAAUUUUAUAAAAAGUUAUAUGAUCCAUAUUUAAUGAUUAAAAGAUUAAAUUACCUUAGGGAUAACAGCAUAAUUUUUUUUGAGAGUUCAUAUCGAAAAAGGAGAUUGUGACCUCGAUGUUGGAUUAAGAUUAGUUUUGGGUGCAGAUGUUCAGUAACUAGGUCUGUUCGACCUUGAAAAUCUUACAUGAUCUGAGUUUAAACCGGCGUGAGCCAGGUUGGUUUCUAUCUUUUAUUAAUUUGAAUAUCUUAGUACGAGAGGACCAGGUAUUUAAAAUAAUUUUUAUUUUGAAGGGAUACUAUUAAUUGG
rnacentral:rRNA from 1 species